UUAUCGGAGAGUUUGAUCCUGGCUCAGGACGAACGCUGGCGGCGUGCCUAAUACAUGCAAGUCGAGCGGACAGAUGGGAGCUUGCUCCCUGAUGUUAGCGGCGGACGGGUGAGUAACACGUGGGUAACCUGCCUGUAAGACUGGGAUAACUCCGGGAAACCGGGGCUAAUACCGGAUGGUUGUUUGAACCGCAUGGUUCAAACAUAAAAGGUGGCUUCGGCUACCACUUACAGAUGGACCCGCGGCGCAUUAGCUAGUUGGUGAGGUAACGGCUCACCAAGGCGACGAUGCGUAGCCGACCUGAGAGGGUGAUCGACUACACUGGGACUGAGACACGACCCAGACUCCUACGGGAGGCGCGAGAGUAGGGAAUCUUCCGCAAUGGACGAAAGUCUGACGGAGCAACGCCGCGUGAGUGAUGAAGGUUUUCGGAUCGUAAAGCUCUGUUGUUAGGGAAGAACAAGUACCGUUCGAAUAGGGCGGUACCUUGACGGUACCUAACCAGAAAGCCACGGCUAACUACGUGCCAGCGUACCAGCGGUAAUACGUAGGUGGCAAGCGUUGUCCGGAAUUAUUGGGCGUAAAGGGCUCGCAGGCGGUUUCUUAAGUCUGAUGUGAAAGCCCCCGGCUCAACCGGGGAGGGUCAUUGGAAACUGGGGAACUUGAGUGCAGAAGAGGAGAGUGGAAUUCCACGUGUAGCGGUGAAAUGCGUAGAGAUGUGGAGGAACACCAGUGGCGAAGGCGACUCUCUGGUCUGUAACUGACGCUGAGGAGCGAAAGCGUGGGGAGCGAACAGGAUUAGAUACCCUGGUAGUCCACGCCGUAAACGAUGAGUGCUAAGUGUUAGGGGGUUUCCGCCCCUUAGUCUUUGCGGCCUAACGCAUUAAGCACUCCGCCUGGGGAGUACGGUCGCAAGACUGAAACUCAAAGGAAUUGACGGGGGCCCGCACAAGCGGUGGAGCAUGUGGUUUAAUUCGAAGCAACGCGAAGAACCUUACCAGGUCUUGACAUCCUCUGACAAUCCUAGAGAUAGGACGUCCCCUUCGGGGGCAGAGUGACAGGUGGUGCAUGGUUGUCGUCAGCUCGUGUCGUGAGAUGUUGGGUUAAGUCCCGCAACGAGCGCAACCCUUGAUCUUAGUUGCCAGCAUUCAGUUGGGCACUCUAAGGUGACUGCCGGUGACAAACCGGAGGAAGGUGGGGAUGACGUCAAAUCAUCAUGCCCCUUAUGACCUGGGCUACACACGUGCUACAAUGGACAGAACAAAGGGCGCCGAAACCGCGAGGUUAAGCCAAUCCCACAAAUCUGUUCUCAGUUCGGAUCGCAGUCUGCAACUCGACUGCGUGAAGCUGGAAUCGCUAGUAAUCGCGGAUCAGCAUGCCGCGGUGAAUACGUUCCCGAGCCUUGUACACACCGCCCGUCACACCACGAGAGUUUGUAACACCCGAAGUCGGUGAGGUAACCUUUUAGGAGCCAGCCGAAGGUGGGACAGAUGAUUGGGGUGAAGUCGUAACAAGGUAGCCGUAUCGGAAGGUGCGGCUGGAUCACCUCCUUU
rnacentral:rRNA from 1 species